AGUCCAGGCAGCCACCAGCUGGCCUGGUCUUGCUGCUUCCUUUAGCGGCUUCCAAGGUCCAGGGACAGGGGGUCUGGGCCACCAAGAGGCUCUGCUAGGCUGUCCCUGCAGCCACAGCCACCCCACUGGACCCCUGCCUCCCAUCUGAGAGGACAGCCCUCUUCCUGGAGCUGGGAUCUGACACUUGCUGAUACCAACGGCAGAUACCAGGUAACGAGAUGUGAGCAGAAACAACCUGUGUCACACCUGGGCAGAAGCUUUAAAGGCCAGUGCUGCCCUUGUUGGGGAAGCAAGUAUAGAUAUGAAUCGUUCCACAACGCGGAGCGCCCCCUGCCGACCCAUGCUGGGCGUGUACUAUAGAUGAGGAGACUGAGGAUCAGAGAGAUAAAGUCACCUGUCCAAGGUCAUACUGUGGAUGUAGCUCUAACCCAAGCCCUCCCGACUGCAGCACAAAUUCUCAGCCACUACCCUAUUAGCCCCUUCAUUUGAAGGUGUCUUCAUCAUUGCCAAGAUUCCUUUUCCUCCCGGCCCCCUAAGUCUUCAGGAUUCCCUCAUCUCAUCUCCCCAGAGAAGCCAUGACACCAUCUUCUCCAAAAACAAAGUCAGCGCUUUCACUGUAGAUGGACCUGUGUUCUUCCCCCAAACUCAGUCCACCUCAUCUCCAGAAAAACUAUAUGACUUGCCCUGGAGAAGAGGGGGAAAAAAAAACCUCUUCCCACCAACUCCACCUCCCAAAUUACUGGAUUUGGGGUAAAUUUACAGGCUGGAGACAGAAGAAUGGAUGUGUAUUUAGCUUUCAAAUUGACUAUUGUUUUAUGUGAAUGUCUGAUAAAGAAAACACAAUGGCUGCCAGAUGGGGCCUGGGAGUGAGAUUUCCCAUGUGGAGAAUUCUAGAAGACAUGCCUGGAGUUCUGGAGCCUGGAUCCUCUGGACAGACAGGUGGCCAGCUAACCAGGGUGGAGGCACCAAAGAUAACUGUGGGGUGGGGAGAAGACACCAGCCCAAGAGAUUUGACUGGGAUUGGUCUACGCAAGAAUGGAAAAUGGAGGCAGAAUGAGUUAGCAGCAAGCACACGUACACUGCUAUAGAAUCUGAGGGACCCGGCCAGUGCUGGCCAAUAGAAAUAGAAUGUGAGCCACAGACAUAAUUUAAACUUUUCUUGUAGUCACUUAAAAACAUGGUAAAUCUAUGAAAUAGAAGAUUGCUCGUGCAAAUAAAUGAACUCUGCUUUGGUCUCAGUGAUCAGGGGUCCCACACUCAAGUGCCCUCAAUACCCAGAGAAGUAACUGAAAUAAAUGGAACAGAUAGGGUGUGAGCAAAGUUCACACGUUCCUCUAA
rnacentral:lncRNA from 1 species